UACCAGCACCCCGAGUGGUCGGGACGUUUAUUGGGCCUAAAGCAUCCGUAGCCGGUUCUACAAGUCUUCCGUUAAAUCCAACUGCUUAACAGGUGGGCUGCGGAAGAUACUAUAGAGCUAGGAGGCGGGAAAGGCAAGCGGUACUCGAUGGGUAGGGGUAAAAUCCGUUGAUCCAUUGAAGACCACCAGUGGCGAAGGCGGCUUGCCAGAACGCGCUCGACGGUGAGGGAUGAAAGCUGGGGGAGCAAACCGG
rnacentral:rRNA from 1 species